rnacentral:rRNA from 1 species
GCGCGAAACCUCUGCAAUGCGCGAAAGCGUGACAGGGGAAUCCAACGUGCUUAUACACAGUAUAGGCUUUUGCUAAGAGUAAAUACCUUGGCGAAUAAGUGGUGGGUAAGACUGGUGCCAGCCGCCGCGGUAACACCAGCGCCACGAGUGGGGGCCAUCUUUAUUGGGCCUAAAGCGUCCGUAGCCUGCUUUGUAAAUCCUUUGUGAAAUCAUCUCGCUUAACGUGAUGGCGCGCAGAGGACACUGCAAAGCUUGGAACCGGGAGGGGGUAGGGGAAUUACUGGGGUAGCGGUAAAAUGUUAUAAUCCCAGUAGGACCACCAGUGGCGAAGGCGCCUACCUAGAACGGUUUCGACGGUGAGGGACGAAAGCUAGGGGAGCGAUCCGG